rnacentral:rRNA from 1 species
GAUGAACGCUGGCGGCGUGCCUAAUACAUGCAAGUCGAACGGACUACCUUCGGGUAGUUAGUGGCGAACGGGUGAGUAACACGUAGAUAACCUACCUUAAACUCGAGGAUAACUCUGGGAAACCGGAGCUAAUACUGGAUAGGAUGUGUGCAUGAAAAAAACACAUUUAAAGAUUUAUCGGUUUAAGAGGGGUCUGCGGCGCAUUAGUUAGUUGGUGGGGUAAAGGCCUACCAAGACGAUGAUGCGUAGCCGGACUGAGAGGUCUACCGGCCACAUUGGGACUGAGAACGGCCCAA